CCAAUAGCGUAUAUUAAAGUUGUUGCAGUUAAAAAGCUCGUAGUUGAACUUCGGGAUCAAUGAAUCGGUCAUGCUUUCGUAUGUACUGGUUUUAUUGGUUCUCACCUUCUAAGGAACCAUAAUGUCAUUCAUUUGAUGUUUUGGGGAAUUAGGACUGUUACCUUGAAAAAAUUAGAGUGUUUAAAGCAGGCUAACGCUUGAAUACAUUAGCAUGGACUAAUGAAAUAGGACAUCGCAUUCUAUUUUGUUGGUUUCUAGGAUCGAUGUAAUGAUUAAUAGGGAUAGUUGGGGGCAUUAGUAUUCAAUUGUCAGAGGUGAAAUUCUUGGAUUUAUUGAAGACUAACUACUGCGAAAGCAUUUGCCAAGGAUGUUUUCAUUAAUCAAGAACGAAAGUUAGGGGAUCGAAGACGAUCAGAUACCGUCGUAGUCUUAACCAUAAACUAUGCCGACUAGGGAUCGGAUGAUGUUAAUUUUUUAAUGACUCAUUCGGCGCCUUACG
rnacentral:rRNA from 1 species